ACACUGAUGAGGAGUUCCACAAUAGAACGAAACAGUUGUCUAGUGU
rfam:Schistosoma curassoni strain Dakar, Senegal genome assembly, scaffold: SCTD_scaffold0000291